GAUGAUUUUAAGGACACUGUCAACUGGGAGAUCUUUUUCCAAACAAACACUGCUCUCAUUUUUGACAUCUGGAUUUUGACAUCAAGAGCUGCCCACAUUCUGAGCUUAGAACUCAUCUUUGAAAAGUUGGCUACUUUUUCUGACACAAGCCAAGAAAAGGUAUUUAUUUUAAAGGGUGAUCCUGCCAUCCUGCAGUGAUGGAGAUUUUGCUCUCAUUGAGUCUGUCUGGAUUAUUUCUGGUUCAUGGACAAUCUGGUUUAUUCCUGUCUUCAUAUCAUCUGGACCUCUUUCCUGGUGCCUAUUUCCCAGGAUACUACCUCCAGUACAAUGUUGAAUAGAAGUGGUGAAAAAAGGAGAAAGAUUCUUAGGAGAACAAAUUCUUUCAUGGGAAGACACACCGUCAGAAAGUUAAGUUUUGACACAAGUACAAAACCUCGGACAGUGUCUUUGAAUAAUAAAGAGAAGAAAGAACAACUCUUCCUGGGGAUGCCUGUCCUAGUGUAAGCAGGUUACACGAGAAGACAAUUGUGUUUGAUGGUACAAGAACCUGAAUUCUGGAACCAGAUAGUCUCUGCUUGAAUUGAGAUUCUGUCACCAACAUGCUAUGUGACCGUGAGCAAAUAAUUUGACUUCCUGUGCCUCAGUUUCUUCCUCUAAAAUGUAGAUAAUGAUGAAUAAUAAUAGCUAUUGGUUGUUGAGUAUAAUAAAUAAUUCAGUGUAUACAAAGGUGUUUGCACAGUGCUUGGAAACACAGGUAAAGCCAUGUAAGGAUGGCUCUUGUAAUAGGAAAGCUAGGCCUUGAAAUGAGAGGUGACAGGUGCCAGGCAC
rnacentral:lncRNA from 10 species